CGGGCAGUUGAGGAAGUCACAAUGGCUCAGAGAAGGUGUACAGCUCAGGGAAACAUGCUAGUCUCUGGUUCAGUUCUGGCACUAAUUCCAUGUGUGAUCUUGGGGAAAGAAGACCCAAAGAAGUGAAGAAUUCUAACUGCUAAGCCGCUACACUUCACUUUGCAAAAUCUGAUGUAAACAAAACACAGGGAUUUACUGUACUUACUCUAGAACCCUUUAUCAAACUCAAGAUUUCCACAAUUCUUAACAUUUCAGAUCAUCUGACAAGGUCUUCUCUUCUGGUGAGAAACACAGCAACACUGCAUCUGUUAUUGGAGUUUCAGUCUUAUUUUAUGUAUUUGAUCCUUCUCUUUUAAUCUGGCUGUUAAGAGAAAUACACUUAAAAAAAAAAAAACAGGAAUAUUGCCAAGUCUGGGGUGCUGGCCUGACGAUUAAAGAUAGCAAAGGCCUUUCCUUCAGCAGAUGACAUAAAUCAUUGCAGCAACUGAGAAAAAUCAAGGAAUCAAGUACAGACACACCUGAAGAACCGGAAAAAUAAACCUGUAUAGCCAGAAGGACUCACUUCCUCUGUGAUGGUAUCUGCAGCUGACUUCAUGAUCCCUUCAAAGAAGAAGGACCUUCUAUCUCCCAUUCCUAUCUUGUAGAUUUCCUUAGCAAACGGACUGAAGUGCUAGGUCCUGAGGCUUCAUUUUAAAGAGACUACUGCUAGUAUGCACGACCGCUCUUUUCAACAAUGAAGCAUCCAUUUUCACUGAUUGGGCCCAAACCUCUGUCCCAACACAUAAAACAGCCCCGGGCAAAGCUAGUCAAGAAAGAACAGGAGAAUGGAGAGUGUGGGGGAGUUAGGAGAGUGACUAGUUGCUUGAACAGAGCUCCUUGGUGCUGCAUACCACAGCAUGCUCAUCUUUUGAAAAGCAUUCGACAUGCUGGGUACAAGUGACCCCUUGGACGCGUUCACCUGAGAAGCUGGGGCGAGAGACUCUCGGGAAAAGCUCCCUGUCCUCCUCAGUCACAACUACGCCUCACUGGGAUUGUUUUGUGUGGGUCCUUCCUCAGCCACUGUUGCUGCAACUCUGUACUUUUCUGACUGAGUCUGUCAGGAAGGAGACAGGAAAUUCUAGUCACCCGCACAGCAGCUGCGCCAUUCCUCCUAUCCUCCUCCAAUGACGUCGGUUGGCUUUGGUGACAUGAGGUCAGGAACUGAGCCACAGUGAAGGUCAGGAAGAUAGGUCAGUGUUUAUGCCGUUGUUGGGCUGGGGAUCCUGCUGAGGCUAUUUGCUUUCUUCCUUGCUAUACUGUUUCUCUUUCCGUUCCUCUUUUUUAUAAUGCGGAGCCAAAGCAUCCUGUUUUGAAAACAUCUGACUGUUUUGCCACCGAGGAACUCAUGCUCUGAUGCAUUUCGCUGAAGUGUAAGACAAUUCUUCUAAUUCGGGAGGCGAUAAAAGUUGAAGCAAAAAUUAAUGAACAAGUCUCAGAAGCCAAUCUGUCGUUAUAGAAAACAGUUCUAACACGUCCAACUGAACUUGGGCUGCUGGCAGGAAGGUUCACUUGACAUCCUUUUCAUCUUGAAAAACAAUGUCACUGCCUCAUAACACUGCUUCAUUUAUUUCAUCUUGUAAUUUGGGGGGGGGGGGGCAGAAAUAACCUACA